UAACAAGGUUUCCGUAGGUGAACCUGCGGAAGGAUCAUUAUUGAAUACGAAUCGGUUCUGAUGCUGGCCCUUCACCGGGCAUGUGCUCGCUCCGAAUCUAUUUAUCUUCUCUUGUGCACCUCUUGUAGUCUUUGAAAAAGUGAACCUCUCGCAGCAAUGCGGUCUGGGGGACUGGGUAAAGCCUUCCCCUGCUUGCUUUCUUCUUGGCUAUGUUUUCAUAUACACUAUAAAGUUACAGAAUGUCUUUUAACGAUUGUCGCUCGCGCGCAGUCAUUAAACCUAUACAACUUUCAGCAACGGAUCUCUUGGCUCUCCCAUCGAUGAAGAACGCAGCGAAAUGCGAUAAGUAAUGUGAAUUGCAGAAUUCAGUGAAUCAUCGAAUCUUUGAACGCACCUUGCGCCCUUUGGUAUUCCGAAGGGCAUGCCUGUUUGAGUGUCAUUAAAUUCUCAACCUUGCUCGCUUUUACCGGCUUGAGUGAGGCUUGGAUGUGAGGGCUUGCUGGCUUCCUUAAGUGGAUGGUCUGCUCCCUUUAAAUGCAUUAGUGGGAUCUCUUGUGGACCGUCACUUGGUGUGAUAAUUAUCUACGCCUCGUCGACUUUGAAGCAAACUUAUGGGAACCUGCUUAUAACCGUCUCGCAAGGGACAACUUUCUGACAUUUUGACCUCAAAUCAGGUAGGACUACCCGCUGAACUUAAGCAUAUCAAUAAGCGGAGGAAAAGAAACUAACAAGGAUUCCCCUAGUAACUGCGAGUGAAGCGGGAAAAGCUCAAAUUUAAAAUCUGGCGGUCCCUGUGGCCGUCCGAGUUGUAAUUUAGAGAA
rnacentral:misc_RNA from 1 species